UCGGAUCGGUAUCAGACUGGUAUCAGACCGGUAUCAGAUCGGUAUCGCCGAUACUGGCUUGUAUUUUACUUGGUAUCGGAUCAGAAAGAAAGCGAGUGGCAUCGUACAUCACUACUCCAGUACUCCUGCUGGCAGCACGCGGUGUGACGGAAACCUACGAGCCUGCGGGCUCUAGCCUGGAGCUGCUCUUAAAGGGCCAGCGUCACUAAAAUACCCCACACAGUUAUCACAAUACCAGCUUUACAAGCAGAACGAAUGUGAACAGUUUACCAAACCAAGACUUGGUGGUUCACAUGUUGCAGCUGCAGAGCCGAAUGUCGCCAUGGCCAGGAAAGUGUCUCAGAAACAAGUCAC